rnacentral:other from 2 species
CGGUUGCUGCGUAGCGCGUCAGGCCAAUAAAAUCCCUGGGGCCAAUAUUUUUCUCUAGGGAGCUGUCCCUGCCGGACCCGUGGGUUCGGUAUAUGGCGCCCACCUGUACCUACAGGCCACAGAGGAAUUACGGCUAACGGCUUAUGUGGCGCCGCC